UUUGGUCUCUAUAGCACGGGGCUAGCACCCGAUCCCAUUCCGAACUCGACGGUAAAAACUCGUUGCGCCGAUGGUACUUGGUCUUAAGGCCCGGAAGAGUAGGUCGACGCCAAAC
rnacentral:rRNA from 1 species